CACACACACACACACACUCAUACUGGAAAAAAAUAUUGAGAUUGUAGUGAAUGAGAAAUUAUUGUGAUGUUUUGAAGAUUGUCAGCCAUAUCACAGCGUAGAGAGGUCAAAGAGAUAGUAACGAAGACCUGGCCAUUUAUCUACAUGGAGCUAUUUCCUUAGUGAUAAUAAAACAUAUUUGAGUUUUAAUUCCAUAUUUGUUCUGACUUAGCAUCUAAGUACUAGUUAGAUGGGCUUAUGGUUUAGGUGUAAAAUGUCCUCAAGACCUUGUGUGUUUUGAUUUCCAACUAGUUUGGGUGAGAAAUGAUUGAACCCGAUUGGUCUUUUCUGAGGCUGGAUGGAGUAAGAAAGGCAGUGGGGGUGUGCUUUUGGCUUCCUGGUCACCAUUAUGUAAAGAACUUCCUUGACUGUACACUUCCACUGCCUGAUCAUUCUGCCUUGUAUCAGGCCAGAAACAACCGAACCAGCUGACCAUGGCUGAUUCCCUCCCAAACAGUUCAGAUACCCGUUUUUUUCUUUCAACUCUUUCCUCUAGACAUUUUGUCACAGCAAACAAAGCAAAACAAAACCAAUCAACCGAACAAACAAAAACAAAAACCAAACCAAUAAACCCCGACUUACAUAUUUUUCCCCUCAGUAUCUUUUCAGGCUUCCCUUUGCUAGAGUCACACAUUUGUCCCCAAUCCUCGUAGCCUCACUUCUGUGAUGUCUAUGUCAUAGUUCAGCCAGUGGCACGAGAACAACAGAAUCCUGUUCUUUUGCCCUUUUCCAAACACCCUUUAAUCCAAUGGCGUGGAGAUCAGGGCUGCACUUGUGUCUCUUUUUAGAAUGAACUGUUUUAAUAUUCUAAGCUGCUCUGUUGCCUCAUGUGGUUAACAUACUCUCUAGAUUAGUAAGGAACUAGUUUGAACCUGAGCCACACAUCAGUCUGUCACCCUUACCUUCUACUAAUAUGGGUAGUCUUUGAUGGGUGCAUCUGCCUUUCAAGUUAACUCUGAAUAUCCCAGGUCUGUCUUACUCAAAAACCAUGAAUCACAGUUGGCUGUGCUCCUGAUUCCUGACUCAGCAUCUCGUCCUCAAGCAUGGGGGGGGGGGGGGGGGCGGGAUGGAUAGCAAAUAGGAAAAAUGAUGUGUGUGAGUGUGCUGGAGGGCCGGGUGCUAUUAAAGGUGCAUUGGGUGAAGAAGGAAUAGUCCACCUUGUGGGUGAUUCUGAAUACUCAUUUUUGAUUAUAUUAUAACAUUGAUAAGAUAGCUAUAAAAGC
rnacentral:lncRNA from 1 species